rnacentral:SRP_RNA from 1 species
CGCCGGACCCUGUGCGAUGGAAUUGCGUGAACCGAGUCAGGUUGGGAACAAAGCAGCUCUAAGCGUUAAGACCUUGCGCGUAGGCCAUCUGUCGGGC